AUGGCCUGGUCUCUGCUCUUGGCCUUCUUCUUCUUAUGGUACCCAGGAGCCAACUCACAGUAUACCUUGACUCAACCUGUGGCACAAUCAAUUCCCCUGGGACAACCAGCAAAGAUCUCAUGUACCAUGAGCCGAGACACCCAAGUGGGGAGCUAUAACAUAUUUUGGUACCAACAGAAGGGUGGAGAGAGCCCCAAAUACCUUCUCUAUGAUAGCAACAGCAACGGCCGAUUCACGGGGUCCAAGGACACUUCCGCCAAUGCAGCCUAUUUAACAAUUUCAAACCUCCAUGCUGAGGAUGAGGCUGAUUACUAUUGUGCUGGUGCUUACAGCAGUGGCAGCAACUGGUGGUAUCCACAGAGAUACAUUCACAUGCAGAAGUGA